rnacentral:rRNA from 1 species
GCACCACAAGAACGCGUGGAGCAUGUGGCUUAAUUUGACUCAACGCGGGAAAUCUUACCAGGUCCGGACACACUGAGGAUUGACAGGAAGUAUCGUCUUUUGAAUUCUUUAAGGAUAUGUCGUUUUUAAUGACAUCUUUUAGAUGGAUGAUUCGUGUAAAUAUGCUAGUUCUUUCAUGAUUAUGUGAUAGGUGGUGCAUGGCCGUUCUUAGUUCGUGGAGUGAUCUGUCUGCUUAAUUGCGUUUCACUAAGGCCCCAAAGUUAGCAAAUUAUCAAUCGUUACAGAGUCGACCCCUCACCUUUGAGUGCGCGUCCUAACUUGUAUACAUGGUGUAAAUGGAUUUGUUUUGGGUACCCAGAAAGCAACGAACGUGACCGCAACGUCCUGUUGUCUCUCUUUGACAGUUAUGGGUUAUCCCAGUCAUGUGUUUA